ACGCACGCGAGUGGGCGUGGCUGCGCCUGGCCGUUGACAGCGCGUCCCUAAGCGUGCGCAAAGCAGCUCCUCUGAGGGGACGCGGCCAGACGCGCAUCUCAUCGGUUAUAUGAGUCUCGCAUCUCAUCUACUGCGACACGUAACUAGAGGACGGAUGCGCACCGCUGGCUGGUUGUUUUCGGAGAAGCCGUAGGAGUUCUCACCGCUCCUGGGACCCCGCAGUGAGUGAGCCAGAAUGCCUUUUCCCUAGGAUCAUGUCUCUGAGGCGACAAACAAUGAAGCCAUCAGACAAGAGUAUGGAGGAAUCAGCAAAGCUCUUUUAAUCACUGAAAAGAGAAAGCAAGAGCUCCUGCUGGCCAGGAGGGACUCCAAGAGAGAUGGCCAUCAGGGCUGCCCUGUCUGGGGUUUAUAUUGCCUCUUGAAAGGAGGCAGUCUCACUCACCAACCAGAUAGUGAACUGAAUUAAUGACAUCACAACUCACUCCUGAUUGGCUGAAUGUAUAAUACUUCAUCUGCAUAGAGCAGCUAAGGUCUAUGUACCUUUGUAUGGCUGAGCUUUAUUUGCAUAGGGCACAACCAGUCACAGCAGCUGAGGUCUAUCUAAGUGGCUGAGUUUGAUUGGGGCUUUUUACAAGGGUCCUGAACUUCAUCUGCCUGUGACCCGGCACUACCUGCCUCACAUUCUUUUCCUUACUUCAUGUUUAAUUUUCCUCUCCCCCUUUGCUUAAGAUAGAAACUAUGGUCAUUGAUUUGAGACCAUUCUUUUCUAAUAUGGGCAUCUAAUGCUACAAUUCUUCUCUAAACACUGCUUUAAUUUCAUCUCAGAAAUUUCGGUUGUGUUUUCUCUCUGUUCAAAAUAUUUUACAUUUCCCUUUUCAUUUCACCUUGAAUCCAUGGGUUAUUUAGAAGUGUGUAUUCAAUUUCUAAGUAUUUGGGGAUGUUUGCAGAUCAUCUCUGGUAUUGGUUUUUAAAAAAAUUCCAUUGUGGGAGUACAUACUGUCUAAUUUGAAAAGUUUAAAUUUGGUGAUUUGUGUGUAUGUAUGGUUUAUGUUUUAAUGCAGAGUAUAUUCUAUCUUGAGAAAUCUUGUCUGUGCUGUAUAUUCUUGUGUUGCUUUGUGGGUAUUGUGUAAAUGCUAAUUAUGUCAAAUUAGUUGGUAGUGUGUUCAUGUCUUCUGUGUUGUUAAUGAUUUUUUUGUCUAUCUGUUCUAUCAAUUAAUGAGAGAGGGCUAUUGAAAUCUUUGACUUUAAUUGUGAAUUUGUUCUUUUCUCUCUGGAGUGCUGUUUUUCUUUCAUGUACUUUGAAAUUCUAUUAGGUGCAUAAGUGCUUAUGAGUCUUACAUCUUAUUGAUUAAUUGACCUCUUUUUAUUUACAAAAUGACCCUCAGUCCCACAUAAUCUUUUUUUCCUCUGAAAUUCACUUUGGUAUUAAUGUAGGUACUUAAGCUUUCUUUUUUCUUUUUGUUCCUCAGGCUGGAUAAUUUUGUUUAACACAUCUUCAAGUUCACUGAUUCUUUCUCCAGCAUGCCCAAAUCUGCAAUUAAACUCCUCUAGUAAAUUAUUCAUUUCAGUUAUUAUACAUUCUAGUAGCAAAAUUUCUAUUUGGUUCCUUUUUGUAAUUUCUAUCUCUUUAUUGAUGUUCUCUAUUUGUUGAGGUAUCCGUUUCCUAUUUUCCUUUAGUUCUUUGCUCAUAGUUUCCUUUAGCUCUUUGAAUAUGUUUAAUGCCAUUGAUUUAAAAUAUUGUCUAGUAAGUGCAGUGUCUGUACUUAAUUAGGAGAAUUUCUGUUAAUUUCCCCAAUAGAUAACAUGUUAUUACUGCUAUUAUUUGUAUCUUGUCAGUCUACCUUUAACAGUGCUUAUAGAUGCACCUCAUUCCUUUUAACUGUGGCAUAGUAUUUCUUUAAAUGGAGAUUCAGCAGUUUUUUAUUGAUUUCUGAAUAUUUGUUUCCUGUUUUUUAUUAUUAUAAGCAGUGCUGCCAUGAACACCUUUGUAUAUGCCUGUUGUGCAAAUUUUCAGGUGAUUCUCUGGAGUAUAUAGCCUGAGAUAGGAUUUUUUGGGUCUGACUGUUAACAUUUUUAAAAAAUAUAUAUUUAUUUAAAAUGUUUAAUGAAUAAAAUUUUUGAAUAGGAAGUAAAUGCACAUUGUAAAAAACAAUGAAAAUUUGUGUAAUGAAAAGUCUUUUUUAGUCUGGAACCGUUCCUCAGUUGAUGCUUGACUGUGUUAAGUAUUAAGUAUUGCAAUCAUUUUGUAGUAUGUCUUUCAAUUUGGGUUUAUCAUAUGUUUCCUAUGUUUAGUUUUAGGUUAUAUGUCUGUGGUAGGAAUAGCAUACAAAUGAGACUGACUUCUUAUUUCAUCCUGUAAAGUGAUGCAUGCUUUUUAUUAAUCCCAUUACUGGUGAUGUUCAAUUUAAUCAUGUGGUUAAGUUAUUGUCUGCCAGCUUUUUAUACUUGUUUUUUUGUAAUUACUAUUUUGUGGAGAGGUACUUUGAGACUGUUUAUAUCUUUCUAUUCAUCAAACUUUUCAUUCAUUCAUUCAUUUAUAUUCAUAUGUGCUCAUGGUUUUCAUUUUAUUUAGUUAAUUAUAGUUUGUUACUAUCAAUAUUUAUUUUGAUGUUCAUAUUGUCAUAGGUUUGGACAGUGGGAGCCCCUUAAAACCAGCUUCUGGAUCUUUCUGAUAUAUCUCCAUCAUUCUUUGAACAUUUUAUUUUCCCAUACACCAACAUCUAUCAAGACUAUCUUGUAUGUUCCCUGCAGCAGUCCUCAAAGCAGCCAUUUGCUGGUUGCAUUUGCUGGUGUAUGUUAUUUAGAAGUCAAUAUGUGGGUGCUUAGUAUGAGAAGUGUGUAUGCCUUCUCUUUGGACAAAGCUGUAUAUAUACAUGUAUAAUAUGUAUCUGUUUAUUCUGUAUCUAUAUACAUUGAAAACUAUGAGUUCACACUAAUAUCUCCCAAUUCCAAUCAAACACCCAACACUGCAGGGCUAAUUUUAGUUUUUUCCCUGUCCAUAUGUGUAACUCCUUUCUCCAAUAGUGAGAAAUCUGGCUCCUAUUCUGUUUUUUUAAAGAAAGAUUUAAUUGACAUAUAACAAGACUCCUUUUAUUCUUAAAACAGGGUAUGGGAUGUUUGGUAGGCCAAUAUUAAUUCUUACCCUCUCUGGCUUGGAGUAUACUAGGGUCAAUGAUCAUGCAACAUGAAAGCAUGUAUGACCAUGUUUUAUUUGAAAGUUCAAUCUGCAUGUAUCCUCUUAGAAAAUAUCAAAUGAAAUAGAAUCACUAAUUUCACAUUUGUAGGUAUUUGUACGGUGUUAUCACUGCCAAGAGAAGCAGAAUCUUUGUUAGGAGAUAUAUGGUUGUGCUUCAAAUGAGGGAAAUUAGUUAUUUGACUUGAAACUGAUUUUUAUUUAAAAAGUCAUCAUGACUUUAGACCUUUAAUGGCAAUAAAAGCAACUGAUUCCAACUCACAAUUAUGAGCAACUCUUUUUGAGUUUAUUUUAAGCAUUUAUUUAAGGUUUUUUUGUCUUUAGUUGUAAAAUGUGUUUGAUAAUUUUCUAAGCUGCCAGCUACCAUUUUACUUUCAUGAUUUAUGGUUAACAUUAAAAUCAGAUAUAAAGUGUUAUACUUUUUUCAUAUUUACAGGUUUUUAAAUUAAGGAAUAUGUAAUUAAAGGUGAUAUGUGAUUCAUUAAUGAUAAUAUAUUUCUUCUUAACAAUUUAAAGUAUCUUAAAGGUAGUAGCAACCAUUCUUUUUCAGGUCUUUAGCUUGAGGUCACUUCUCUAUCCACACAUUUCCUUUUUCAUGUCUUUAAAUUUAUUUAUGUGCUGACUAGGCUGUAUUUCUCUACUUCUAUAUCUAUUUAGAUUUCAAAUAAGAAGCUUAAACUUACCAUGUACAAAACAAAACCCUCGUUUUUUGUAAAAACCAAACUAAUCUCACAUUUUUUCUCUCUAUCUCAGUAAAUAGAAAACAUUCUUCAAUUUUCUGAGGUCAAAAAGUUAGAGUCAGCUUUUUGACUACUUUCUCACUCUCAUGCUGCAUAAUUAGUCCAUCAUUAAAUUCUUUGUAGUAUAUUGAGGAUCUGUGCAAUUCUCUUUACUUCCUCCUCCAUCAUAGUGGUUCAGGCCACCAUCAGUUAUGCCUGAAUUCCUGUAGGAGCCUCCCAAUUGUCUUGCUGCUACCAUGUUUGCCUUACAUGUUUGUCUUCUGUACCUUGAAGCCAGAUUAAAUAUAAAAAAAAAUAUCAUUUCACAUCUCUUCUCAAAACUUCUAACAGUUUUGCUUUUUAACUCAGAAAAAAGCCAAUUGCCUCUGUGUACCUUCCUUAUGAUCUGACUUCCCUCUAUUUCUGUGGUCUCAUCUCCAGCAUUCUCCCCUUUGCUUACUCUACUCAUACUAAUGGCCUUCUUCCUGUUCUUUCAAUGUAUUAAGCAUUGCCUAAGCAAAAAUCAGGGCCUUUGCAUUUAUUGGUCUUUCAGCCUGGAAUGCUCUUUACCCUGAUAUUUGCUUAGCUUAAGUCCUUCAAUUCUUUUUUCAGGUUUCUCUUCAAAUAGCACCUUAGAGAAAGCUUUCCUGAUUGCAUUAAGUAAAAUAACACUUACCUCUUCACGCUGGCUCCCUCGUCCUGUUUAAUCCUUUUCCAUUAGCACUUGUCGCCAUCGAACAUAUUUUAUAUAUAACUUAUAUGUGAUAUAUAUGUGUGUGUAUUGUGUGUGUGUGUGUGUGUGUGUGUGUGUAUAGUUGACUUAUGGCCCCACUAGACUAUAAUGUCUGGAAUCAGGGACUUUGAUUUCUUGCCCUGUUUUGGAACAGUGGCUGGAAUGUAAUUGGUGUUCUAUUAAUAUUUGUGGAAUAAAUAAAUAACGCUUUAUGAGAGAAAGAAUAUUUUGUUCAGAUUCUAAAAGUCAGGAUAUUUCCUAAUGCUUCCUUUUACUCUCUUUGCCUAGCUCCAUUCCUGAUGAAAGCAGAGGCAAAUUUGUGGGGAGUGGGGAGUUGGUUGGGGAAGAAAAUGCAAGGUGGGAAAAUAGGGGAAAAGAAAAACCAUACCCUUCUCCUCUGCUCUAGGUCUCCCAGACUGAAAGCCCUUCCAAUUUGGCAGGGGGAAGAAGCUUUAACUUUAAGUAAAGUUAUUGUUUUGAUUAAUAAACUGGGCUGGACAUUUCACUUAGUGAGCUAGAUUAUUCUUGGCAUUACAAGUGAUUUAAAAGAAGAGUGUCCAAGAAAAACAUGGGAUCUCCCCUCACCCAACAGUUCCUUCAAAGGGCAAGAGAAAAGUGAAUCCUCAGAUUGGUUAUAAAGGGCCUGUAAGGGAAACAAAUGAAGUGUUUUUUGUUUUGUUUUGUUUUUUUCAUGCAUCAUUCAACCUAAUAGUUACCUUUCUAUUGUGGUCUUUAUCAUAACACUUAGUAGUCUAUUGUUUAUGUGUCUGGCUCCUUUACCAGACUAUUAGCUCCAGAAGAGAGGGCUAGUGUUUUAUUAAUCCUGCUUAUCUAAGACCUGUCAUGGUGCAUGACACAUAGCAACCAUUUAGUGUUUGUUGAAUAAUCUUCCUCCCCCAUCUCUAUUCAAGGAUUACUUGAGUACCAAAAAUACCUUGAGUUUCAAAUUCAAUGUUUGGUGAUAAAAAGGAGGCUGUUUGCUUAGCUAUUUAGAGAUUACACUCUAUUCCAGGAUUUAGAUCCAUUUGCCUUGAUGAAAAUUUAACAUUACUCUGUUCUAACGGAAAAAACACUUCUGAGGUCCUGUAUCACAGGGAUGAUUUUAUUCUUUCCUUCUUGCUCAAGCUUUCAGCCACCUCAUCUGUCUCCCCUGUUGCAGCAGAGCAUGAGUGUGGCUUUCAUGGAGCCCAGGGUUUAUAAUAAAUGCUAAGAAUAAUCCCCUUCUCUCCACAUCUGGUAUUGCUGUGAUUCCUCUUUAAAGGCAAAACCUGAGUCCUUAUUAUUUACAAA